rnacentral:miRNA from 1 species
ACUCUUCUUCUUCUUCUUCUUCUUCUUCUUCUUCUUCUUCAGAGGAGGAGGAGGAGGAGGAGGAGGAGGAAGCAGAGA